UACAGAGGUCCCAAGCGUUGUUCGGAUUCAUUGGGCGUAAAUGGUGCGUAGGCGGCGCGGUAAGUCGGGUGUGAAAUCUCGGGGCUUAACUCCGAAACUGCAUUCGAUACUGCCGUGCUUGAGGACUGGAGAGGAGACUGGAAUUUACGGUGUAGCGGUGAAAUGCGUAGAUAUCGUAAGGAAGACCAGUGGCGAAGGCGGGUCUCUGGACAGUUCCUGACGCUGAGGCACGAAGGCCAGGGGAGCAAACGGG
rnacentral:rRNA from 1 species